rnacentral:rRNA from 1 species
AUUGAACGCUGGCGGCAGGCCUAACACAUGCAAGUCGAACGAGUGGCGGACGGGUGAGUAAUGUCUGGGAAACUGCCUGAUCGAGGGGGAUAACUACUGGAAACGGUAGCUAAUACUGCAUACCAUCAGAUGUGCCCAGAUGGGAUUAGCUAGGUGGUGGGGUAACGGCUCACAAAGGCGACGAGCCCUAGCUGGUCUGAGAGGAGGACCCGCCACACUGGAACUGAGACACGGUCCAGACUCUGACGGGAGGCAGCAGUGGGGAAUAUUGCACAAUGGACGCAAGUCUGAUGCAGCCAUGCCGCGUGUAUGAAGAAGGCCUUCGGGUUGUAAAGUAAUUUCCGCGGGAACGCGGUACCCGCGGAGGAAGCACCGGCUAACCCCAUGCCAGCAGCCGCGGUAAUUC